rnacentral:rRNA from 1 species
UACGUAGGGGGCAAGCGUUGUCCGGAUUUAUUGGGCGUAAAGAGCGUGUAGGCGGCCAGGUAGGUCCGUUGUGAAAACUCGAGGCUCAACCUCGAGACGUCGGCGGAAACCCUCUGGCUAGAGUCCGGAAGAGGAGAGUGGAAUUCCUGGUGUAGCGGUGAAAUGCGCAGAUAUCAGGAAGAACACCCGUGGCGAAGGCGGUUCUCUGGGACGGUACUGACGCUGAGGUGCGAAAGCGUGGGGAGCAAACAGG